rnacentral:rRNA from 1 species
AAACUAACAAGGAUUCCCCUAGUAACGGCGAGUGAACCGGGAAGAGCUCAAAUUUGAAAUCUGGCGUGCUCAGUGCGUCCGAGUUGUAAUCUAUAGAGUCGUUUUCCGUGCCGGACUGUGUCCAAGUCCCUUGGAACAGGGUAUCAAAGAGGGUGAUAAUCCCGUACUUGACACAAUGACCGGUGCUCUGUGAUACGUCUUCUACGAGUCGAGUUGUUUGGGAAUGCAGCUCAAAAUGGGUGGUGAGUUCCAUCUAAAGCUAAAUAUUGGCGAGAGACCGAUAGCGAACAAGUACCGUGAGGGAAAGAUGAAAAGCACUUUGGAAAGAGAGUUAAACAGUACGUGAAAUUGUUAAAAGGGAAACGAUUGAAGUCAGUCGUGACUGAGAGGCUCAGCCGGUUCUGCCGGUGUAUUCCCCUCAGUCGGGUCAACAUCAGUUUUGUUCGGUGGAUAAGGGCAGUUGGAAGGUGGCACCCUCGGGUGUGUUAUAGCCAGCUGUCGCAUACAUCGGAUGAGACUGAGGAAUGCAGCUC